rnacentral:rRNA from 1 species
UACGUAGGGUGCAAGCGUUGUCCGGAAUUAUUGGGCGUAAAGAGCUCGUAGGCGGUUUGUCGCGUCUGCCGUGAAAGUCCGGGGCUCAACUCCGGAUCUGCGGUGGGUACGGGCAGACUAGAGUGAUGUAGGGGAGACUGGAAUUACUGGUGUAGCGGUGAAAUGCGCAGAUAUCAGGAGGAACACCGAUGGCGAAGGCAGGUCUCUGGGCAUUAACUGACGCUGAGGAGCGAAAGCAUGGGGAGCGAACAGG